rnacentral:rRNA from 1 species
GACGAACCGUGCGAACGUUGUUCGGAAUCACUGGGCUUAAAGGGCGCGUAGGCGGGCUGUCAAGUCUGGGGUGAAAUGCUGCGGCUCAACCGUAGAACUGCCUUAGAUACUGACGGCCUCGAGGGAGGUAGGGGCAUGCGGAACUGUAGGUGGAGCGGUGAAAUGCGUAGAGAUGGGUAGGAACACCGGUGGCGAAGGCGGUCUUCUGGGACGCCCUUGACGCUGAGGCGCGAAAGCUGGGGGAGCGAACGGG